AGCGAACGCUGGCGGCAGGCCUAACACAUGCAAGUCGAGCGCCCCGCAAGGGGAGCGGCAGACGGGAGAGUAACACGUGGGAACGUACCCUUUGGUUCGGAACAACCCAGGGAAACUUGGGCUAAUACCGGAUAAGCCCUUACGGGGAAAGAUUCAUCGCCGAAGGAUCGGCCCGCGUCUGAUUAGCUAGUUGGUGGGGUAACGGCCCACCAAGGCGACGAUCAGUAGCUGGUCUGAGAGGAUGAUCAGCCUCACUGGGACUGAGACACGGCCCAGACUCCUACGGGAGGCAGCAGUGAGGAAUACUGGGCAAUGAGCGAAAAGCUUGACCCGGCAAUAUUAUGAGGGAUGAAAUGAAGGCUAUUUAAGCUGUAAAAUCCUAUUAUUUGAGUAUAUAAUGACAUUAACUCAAAUGAAAUAAAGUCCCGGCUAAACUUCGUGCCAGCCGCCGCCGUAACAC
rnacentral:rRNA from 1 species